CCCUUAGAUGUCCGGGGCCGCACGCGCGCUACACUGAAGGAAUCAGCGUGGCUUUCUCCCUGACCCGAAAGGGUUGGGAAACCCGUUGAAUCUCCUUCGUGAUAGGGAUUGGGGCUUGAAAUUGUUCCCCAUGAACGAGGAAUUCCCAGUAAGCGCGAGUCAUAAGCUCGCGUUGAUUACGUCCCUGCCCUUUGUACACACCGCCCGUCUCUACUACCGAUUGAACGGUUUAGUGAGGGCCUCGGAUUGGUCUCGGCCCGCUCUUUACCGGGCGGCGCCGUUGGUCGAGAAGACGCUCGAACUUGAUCGUUUAGAGGAAGUAAAAGUCGUAACA
rnacentral:rRNA from 1 species